UAGCUCUUUUUCUUUAAAUAUCUAUGUAACUACCUACCACGACUUACAGUACUAUACUACAACUACUACGAUAAAUCUUACCAAUAGGAUCUUAAAUAUUCAUUGUCGUCACUCUCCAGCCCCAACAAACUCGGGGACUUAAUGAGAGUCGGGGUCUUCGGGUGGGGAAGGCAAAAAUAAGUGAAAUUUGGCCUUCGGGAAUUUUUGUGCUAACGGAGCAAAUAUGACUAAAAUAUGGGUUCUCAAACCCAAGCUAACCUAACGGGGGAGCUAUGCCCCCUCAAUAACCCUUACUAAUUUAAUGUAAUGUAAAGGGGGAUUUUGCCCCCACUUGAGGCGGCAGGUGUCUCCUAUGGGCGGCUUGGACUAUAGGGGUUGUACAGUGUACAGGGAUGCGGCUUCUUGAAGAAAAGGUCCACACGUUGUGUUGUGAUUGACAGAUGUAGCAUCCAACACACGAACACACACACACACACACACACACACACACACACCACUCUGUGUGCUAUCACAGGAGCUUCAUCUUUGUGGACUUAGAAUUUGUGAGGCACCUGCUAGAUAUUUAAAGAGCUGCUGUGGACACACUGAAGCUGACCCACAAAUGAAACCACCACAGAUGUGUUGCACCUGAAGCACCGCAGUAUUGUUUGUCAAUAUUUUGCUGCUUUGUUGAGAUGCUAUUGGUAAGAUUAUCUCUACUACUACUACUACUACUACUAUGAAGACUACAACUUCUAUACCACCUCUGCCUCAGAUACUGUUGCUCUAAUCAUUACUACUCUUAUGACUACCAUUCAUUAACUUAAAAUAAUUCUUGCUUUCUUCUUAUGUUCACAUACAUGAGUAUUUGAACAAAACAUAACCAGUCUGCAGGAUAAGGUUAUUUAACAUACCAACUCUUUGCAGGUAUUAUGUGUGUAUAGUGUUGGGCAUUGAAACAUUAAACUUAUAACAGAUAAUUGCCAAAAUAAUCAUUAGAUUUUCAUUAACCUCAGAUAAUUCAGAAUUCAGAUUAUUCCAUUACUAACAUUAGAAAAAAAAAUUCAAGUCCCAUUAGAUCUGUUUUAAAACUCAUUACUUAAAAGUCACUGUCAGAUUAUUGUCAACUUUCAAUAACAUAAUAUUUAAUAAACUAUUCCAUAAUUCACAUCGCUCAAAAAUCUAUAUGUAUUAUGUAUCAAUGACCAACACUGCCAGUAAGUAUUACUCAGAUAUUUUCAGUGUCAUAUAUGUAUAUUUGUUGACUGAUAACUAUUGUUAUUUAUAUGUUGUUUAUUUAUUUAUUUUUUUCCCAUGCAUCUUGCCUGUAGAAAAGCUUGAACAGUUAAUUUUGUAGUACUUAUAGCUGUCUCUGUAUGGAGGCAUUAAAGACACAUGGCUGUUUAUCUGUCUGAAUGUAUAUACUUACAUUUAAAAGUUCGCAUGGUGUAGAUAGUGCCUGCAUACACAGAUUCACUAUAGUGUAUGUGUGUGUGUGUGUAUGUGUGUGUGUGUGUGUGUGUGUGUGUGUGUGUGUGUGUGUGUGUGUGUGUGUGUGUGUGUGUGUGUGUGUGUG